rnacentral:lncRNA from 1 species
GCAAGACCAAACUCUGAAAGGGGAAAUUUUCCCUGACAAGAUGGAGGUGAUCUCUGUGGAAAUGUGCAGGAGGAAGAUCCUAUGUCUCGAGAGCUUCAGAUAGAGGACAAACGCCAGGAACUUGGGUAUGCCUAAGAGAUGAAGCCAUUUAAAGUGUUCCAAGAUUCAUUGUUUAUGCAUGCCAAACUAUGGAAAGAGCCA